UACGUAGGGUGCAAGCGUUGUCCGGAAUUAUUGGGCGUAAAGAGCUCGUAGGCGGUUUGUCGCGUCUGCUGUGAAAACCCGAGGCUCAACCUCGGGCCUGCAGUGGGUACGGGCAGACUAGAGUGUGGUAGGGGAGACUGGAAUUCCUGGUGUAGCGGUGAAAUGCGCAGAUAUCAGGAGGAACACCGAUGGCGAAGGCAGGUCUCUGGGCCACUACUGACGC
rnacentral:rRNA from 1 species